AGAGUUUGAUCCUGGCUCAGGACGAACGCUGGCGGCGUGCUUAACACAUGCAAGUCGAACGAUGAUGCCCAGCUUGCUGGGUGGAUUAGUGGCGAACGGGUGAGUAACACGUGAGUAACCUGCCCCUGACUCUGGGAUAAGCGUUGGAAACGACGUCUAAUACUGGAUAUGACUGCCGGCCGCAUGGUCUGGUGGUGGAAAGAUUUUUCGGUUGGGGAUGGACUCGCGGCCUAUCAGCUUGUUGGUGAGGUAAUGGCUCACCAAGGCGACGACGGGUAGCCGGCCUGAGAGGGUGACCGGCCACACUGGGACUGAGACACGGCCCAGACUCCUACGGGAGGCAGCAGUGGGGAAUAUUGCACAAUGGGCGAAAGCCUGAUGCAGCAACGCCGCGUGAGGGAUGACGGCCUUCGGGUUGUAAACCUCUUUUAGUAGGGAAGAAGCGUAAGUGACGGUACCUGCAGAAAAAGCACCGGCUAACUACGUGCCAGCAGCCGCGGUAAUACGUAGGGUGCAAGCGUUGUCCGGAAUUAUUGGGCGUAAAGAGCUCGUAGGCGGUUUGUCGCGUCUGCUGUGAAAUCCCGAGGCUCAACCUCGGGCUUGCAGUGGGUACGGGCAGACUAGAGUGCGGUAGGGGAGAUUGGAAUUCCUGGUGUAGCGGUGGAAUGCGCAGAUAUCAGGAGGAACACCGAUGGCGAAGGCAGAUCUCUGGGCCGUAACUGACGCUGAGGAGCGAAAGCGUGGGGAGCGAACAGGAUUAGAUACCCUGGUAGUCCACGCCGUAAACGUUGGGCGCUAGAUGUAGGGACCUUUCCACGGUUUCUGUGUCGUAGCUAACGCAUUAAGCGCCCCGCCUGGGGAGUACGGCCGCAAGGCUAAAACUCAAAGGAAUUGACGGGGGCCCGCACAAGCGGCGGAGCAUGCGGAUUAAUUCGAUGCAACGCGAAGAACCUUACCAAGGCUUGACAUACACCGGAAACGGCCAGAGAUGGUUGCCCCCUUGUGGUCGGUGUACAGGUGGUGCAUGGUUGUCGUCAGCUCGUGUCGUGAGAUGUUGGGUUAAGUCCCGCAACGAGCGCAACCCUCGUUCUAUGUUGCCAGCGCGUUAUGGCGGGGACUCAUAGGAGACUGCCGGGGUCAACUCGGAGGAAGGUGGGGAUGACGUCAAAUCAUCAUGCCCCUUAUGUCUUGGGCUUCACGCAUGCUACAAUGGCCGGUACAAAGGGCUGCGAUACCGUAAGGUGGAGCGAAUCCCAAAAAGCCGGUCUCAGUUCCGGAUUGAGGUCUGCAACUCGACCUCAUGAAGUCGGAGUCGCUAGUAAUCGCAGAUCAGCAACGCUGCGGUGAAUACGUUCCCGGGCCUUGUACACACCGCCCGUCAAGUCAUGAAAGUCGGUAACACCCGAAGCCGGUGGCCUAACCCUUGUGGAAGGAGCCGUCGAAGGUGGGAUCGGUGAUUAGGACUAAGUCGUAACAAGGUAACCGUA
rnacentral:rRNA from 1 species